rnacentral:rRNA from 1 species
GACGGGGGGGGGCAAGUGUUCUUCGGAAUGACUGGGCGUAAAGGGCACGUAGGCGGUGAAUCGGGUUGAAAAGUGAAAAGUCGCCAAAAAGUGGCGGAAUGCUCUCGAAACCAAUUCACUUGAGUGAGACAGAGGAGAGUGGAAUUUCGUGUGUAGGGGUGAAAUCCGUAGAUCUACGAAAGGAACGCCAAAAGCGAAGGCAGCUCUCUGGGUCCCUACCGACGCUGGGUGCGAAAGCAUAGGGGAGCGAACAGGG